GCGCCCGUAACUUAACUGGAUAGAGUACCUGGCUUCGAACCAGGGGGUUGGCGGGCACG
rnacentral:tRNA from 1 species